UGAAAUGGUGUGUGAAAGAAGGGAGUCACU
rnacentral:piRNA from 1 species